AUUGGCGGGCGGCCUAAACAUGCGAGUCGAGCGGUAACAGAAAGUAGCUUGCUACUUUGCUGACGAGCGGCGGACGGGUGAGUAAUGCUUGGGAACAUGCCUUGAGGUGGGGGACAACAGUUGGAAACGACUGCUAAUACCGCAUAAUGUCUACGGACCAAAGGGGGCUUCGGCUCUCGCCUUUAGAUUGGCCCAAGUGGGAUUAGCUAGUUGGUGAGGUAAUGGCUCACCAAGGCGACGAUCCCUAGCUGGUUUGAGAGGAUGAUCAGCCACACUGGGACUGAGACACGGCCCAGACUCCUACGGGAGGCAGCAGUGGGGAAUAUUGCACAAUGGGCGCAAGCCUGAUGCAGCCAUGCCGCGUGUGUGAAGAAGGCCUUCGGGUUGUAAAGCACUUUCAGUCAGGAGGAAAGGUUAGUAGUUAAUACCUGCUAGCUGUGACGUUACUGACAGAAGAAGCACCGGCUAACUCCGUGCCAGCAGCCGCGGUAAUACGGAGGGUGCGAGCGUUAAUCGGAAUUACUGGGCGUAAAGCGUACGCAGGCGGUUUGUUAAGCGAGAUGUGAAAGCCCCGGGCUCAACCUGGGAACUGCAUUUCGAACUGGCAAACUAGAGUGUGAUAGAGGGUGGUAGAAUUUCAGGUGUAGCGGUGAAAUGCGUAGAGAUCUGAAGGAAUACCGAUGGCGAAGGCAGCCACCUGGGUCAACACUGACGCUCAUGUACGAAAGCGUGGGGAGCAAACGGGAUUAGAUACCCCGGUAGUCCACGCCGUAAACGAUGUCUACUAGAAGCUCGGAGCCUCGGUUCUGUUUUUCAAAGCUAACGCAUUAAGUAGACCGCCUGGGGAGUACGGCCGCAAGGUUAAAACUCAAAUGAAUUUGACGGGGGGCCCGCACAAGCGGUGGGAGCAUGUGGUUUAAUUCGUUGCAACGCGAAGAACCUUACCUACACUUGACAUACAGAGAACUUACCAGAGUGGUUUGGUGCCUUCGGGACUCUGAAACCAGGUGCUGCAUGGCUGUCGUCACCUCGGUUGUGAGAUGUUGGUUAAGUCCCCCAACGAGCGCAACUCCCUAA
rnacentral:rRNA from 1 species